rnacentral:rRNA from 1 species
UACGUAGGUGGCAAGCGUUGUCCGGAUUUAUUGGGUUUAAAGGGUGCGUAGGCGGUCUUUUAAGUCAGUGCUGAAAUAUCCCGGCUUAACCGGGAGGGUGGCAUUGAUACUGAAGGACUUGAGUACAGUCGAGGUAGGCGGAAUUGACGGUGUAGCGGUGAAAUGCUUAGAUAUCGUCAAGAACACCGAUAGCGAAGGCAGCUUACUAGGCUGUAACUGACGCUGAGGCACGAAAGUGUGGGGAUCAAACAGG